rnacentral:rRNA from 1 species
GACGAACGCUGGCGGCGUGCUUAACACAUGCAAGUCGAGCGGUAAGGCCCUUUUGGGGGUACACGAGCGGCGAACGGGUGAGUAACACGUGGGUGACCUGCCCUCAGCUCUGGGAUAAGCCUGGGAAACUGGGUCUAAUACUGGAUAUGACCUUUCCUCGCAUGGGGUUGGGUGGAAAGUUUUUCGGCUGGGGAUGGGCCCGCGGCCUAUCAGCUUGUUGGUGGGGUGAUGGCCUACCAAGGCGACGACGGGUAGCCGGCCUGAGAGGGCGACCGGCCACACUGGGACUGAGACACGGCCCAGACUCCUACGGGAGGCAGCAGUGGGGAAUAUUGCGCAAUGGGCGGAAGCCUGACGCAGCGACGCCGCGUGGGGAUGACGGCCUCGGUUGUAAC